UAGCAGCGGCACGGGUCAGAAUCCCGGCUCCAGCGACUCCCAGACCCAGCGGCUGGGACUUCUAGGACCCCACCCCGGUGCGAGACCCCAGGCCCGCGCCUUGGAAAGCGGCGCCUGACGAGGUGCAAGCUGGGAGGAAAGGCGGCGCGACUAAGUCCCAUAAAGCUCCCGAAGAUCCGAUUAGCACGCGGCUAUUCAUUAGGCCGGGGGCGAUUGAAUUAGUUCCUGCGUGCAGGCCCCGCGGGGGAGGCCGGCGCGGACUGGCCGCCCCGCGGGCGCGGGCAGGGCAACACGGACCACCGCGCGGGUGCCUGGCCUGGGCGGACUGUAGGCAGCAUUGGCCCCGGCGCGUGUCCAGCCCCGCGAGCUGCAUGCGGAGGCUGCCAGCUGCCCACGCACAUGAGGACUGCCGACCCGAAACCCGCCCGGCUCCGGAGAAACCGCGCCCGGGAAGAAGAGAGCAGACGGGCGACUGAGCGUCCAGCCCCAGGACCUCACGCUGGGAUUCUUGGCCGGGCACCUGCCCGGAGCCCUCCGAAGUUGUUACCAGCAAGUAGCUGCAGACGGCCCGUUGUGUGCCGCAGAGGUUGGCAGCUGCCCAGCGUGCCUGGCCCCGCAGCCACUUCCCAAGUACCAAAGUCAGGAGGCUGCCCAGCCUGCGUCCCUGCUUUGCGAAGGUGCCUGUUAAACACAGACUCGCAAUCUGUUGCUAAAUAUAACCCAGCGUUCACCUGGAAGGUGUAAUUCAGGGUGCUUGUACACGGUUACCAACUGGCAGACUUUGGGUUACAAAAGCGCGAUCUUCCGAGGACAGCAUGGCUGCCCUGCUCUCCCUGCCCCUGCCGGCGAUGGUGCGCGUAAUACUAACUACUCAAGGGGGCUGAAGAAGGUGGGGCGACGCCUGGGACCCCCAGGCCGGGGAGGGUGCCUCCAGUCCCCAUUCCACUCACAUUGCCCUGUCCCCUUGUCUGAGGCCCGAGAAAGGCCCACGUCCUCAGAGGACACCACUGGUACAGUGGGGGGCCCCUCCGCAGGCCGUUGGUCCUGCUGAGUCUGGGGUGGGCUUGGAGGGGAGGUUUUCUGGGAAUUUACACUCAGCCUCAAGCCCAGAGGGGUGCAGGGGUGCACUCUGGGUUUCUGGAAUGGGAGGAACCCAUUUUCUUUGCAGGAGCUGACCCAAACCAGCCCUCAGUCUUCCUGCCUUAAGGAAGGACCCUGUGCUGAUGGGAGCCAGGCUCUGCCAGGAAAGCCCGGACCAGCAGGAGAAGGGAGGGCCCCCGUAAGUACAGUUUCUGGGGUCCUUCCAGCCAACUCCAAGCAGAGCCUGGCUCAGGCCCUCCCUUCAGGGACCCCCGCCCACACUCCCACAGGGGCCUGGCUGUGGAGGAAGUGCCAAGUAAGCAGAGUGACUGCAGGCUGCCUCAGCUCCCUGUGUCUGGAUGUUUACAAGGUGCCGGUUGCACCUGGACAGGGGUCCUCAGGGCUGGGCUUCCCUGAAGAGUCCAGCCUCGGCAUCAGCGUCUCUGAUCAAGCCUGCAAGCCCAGGAGCAGAACCCACAGGAUGGGGGACCCAGAUUCCGGCUCUGCUGGACUGCCCCUCCCUGCACGCCCUUGCCCCUGCAGGACCCGGCACAGGAGGCGGCCCAGCCUGCCGGCCACACACUGGGCACGCCUGUCCUGCUGUCUCCUGGAGCCCCAAGACAGCACUCUACUGUUCUCCAGUCCAACCACUGACCCUGUAGUCUCAGAUGGGCAAGGGUGUCCCCCCCAAGGACUGCUGGGAAGGCAGAAGACAGAAGCCUCCUUCCUCCCCUUCCGGAGGGGUGAUUCCUUGGCCUGGUUAUCGUCAGCCUGUAUAGACGGAAAGUGAGUCAUUACCACUAAAAUUCCCACAGAACAGCCAGGGUCUGCAAAGCCCACACCCGGUCUGGAGUGCAGCAGCAGGUUGUCUGGAGGUGUGGCCACCACCUGGUUUCUGCUUGCCUGGCCUGGAGUGUGGCCACCGGUCCAUCAUUAAAUUAAAAAUAAUUCACUAGAUCCAUUUAUGUAUUAUUAUUAUCUUAAGCUGCACAAAUACAUAUUC